UAGGGAAUCUUGCGCAAUGGGCGAAAGCCUGACGCAGCAACGCCGCGUGGGGGAAGAAGGCUUUCGGGUUGUAAACCUCUUUCAGGGGGACGAAGCCACCGGGGUUAAUAGCCCACGGGGUGACGGUACCCCAGAAGAAGCCCCGGCUAACUACGUGCCAGCAGCCGCGGUAAUACGUAGGGGGCAAGCGUUGUCCGGAAUCAUUGGGCGUAAAGCGCGUGUAGGUGGCUUGGUAAGUCCGGUGUGAAACCUUGGGGCUCAACCCCAAGCCUGCAUCGGAUACUGCCUCGCUCGAGUUCGGGAGGGGAGAGCGGAAUUCCUAGUGUAGCGGUGAAAUGCGCAGAUAUUAGGAAGAACACCGGUGGCGAAGGCGGCUCUCUGGAACGAUACUGACACUGAGACGCGAAAAGCGUGGGUAGCGAACAGGAUUAGAUACCCAAGUAGUCCCUGAGCGGGCUGG
rnacentral:rRNA from 1 species